rnacentral:lncRNA from 1 species
CUCAGAAGUUUCUAAUGGAGCAUCCCCUGACUCCCACCAUACUGCUACCCAUGGAGAGAAUUUACGGUUUGGGAUUGCUGGUGCAACGUACAGCGGCUGCACAACAAGCAUGUGACUUGAGACAGAGUGAAGUCCUGAAUUUAGCGGAUGUUUGAAAAGCCCAGCCCAGUCCUCAGCAUACAGUAAGCAUGCUUACUUUCUUGCUGAAGAUAUAAUAGCGUAACAUGAGGUGCUGAUCAUAGUCCUGGAAAGCAUUACAGUCCUGAACGCUGUAAUCCCAGAUGCUGAAAUCCCUAAAGAUCAAAAUUCCUAAAUCCUAGAACCCUAAUGUUUAAAACAAAGUGACACACAGCGCUGUUGCUGUUUGAUCAACAGUGUUGUUUCUGCCAAAUUUGUGGUCUGUAUAGGCGUGCGUGCAGAAUGGAUUUCACUGUACCCAAAGCAACUUAGACGCAUGGCACAGAAGAUGGGAAAAUUUAACAAGGAAUGCUCAUGUCAGUGUACACGGACUCCUAGAAGAAUUUCGAAAAGAACAGCAUCAUAUAGAAAAUGGAGGUGAAUGUAUUCUCUGAGGAGGGCCAUGUCCUAAAAGAAAAUUUGUGAUGUAAGACUUUAAAAUAAAAUUAAUGAUAGUGAAAGUCAGCCAGCUUUUGUGAACUAUCUCUGUGCAAUCGCCCAUAAUCCAUCCCUGUAAUACACUUUUUCACAUGCUGAAUUUUCUUUUUAGUUUAUUUGGG